CUGGGCUUGACAUGUAAUGAACAACAUGUGAAAGCAUGCGACUCUUCGGAGGCGUUACACAGGUGCUGCAUGGCCGUCGUCAGCUCGUGUCGUGAGAUGUUUGGUUAAGUCCAGCAACGAGCGCAACCCCUGUUGCCAGUUACCAGCACGUGAAGGUGGGGACUCUGGCGAGACUGCCCAGAUCAACUGGGAGGAAGGUGGGGACGACGUCAGGUCAGUAUGGCCCUUAUGCCCAGGGCUGCACACGUACUACAAUGCCCAGUACAGAGGGGGCCGAAGCCGCGAGGCGGAGGAAAUCCUAAAAACUGGGCCCAGUUCGGACUGUAGGCUGCAACCCGCCUACACGAAGCCGGAAUCGCUAGUAAUGGCGCAUCAGCUACGGCGCCGUGAAUACGUUCCC
rnacentral:rRNA from 1 species